CGGAGGGCGGCGAGCGCGGGUGGAGGCGUCGCCGGGGUCGGGCCAGCAGGCUCUGGGAUCGGGCUUGUGGGACACCCCGACAAUUGGACGACUGAUUAUUGGACAGAAUGGCGUCUUGUCGACACCUGCGGUCUCCUGCAUUAUCAGGAAGAUCAAGGCAGCUGGUGGAAUCAUUCUAACAGCCAGCCACUGCCCUGGAGGACCAGGGGGAGAGUUUGGAGUGAAGUUUAAUGUUGCCAAUGGAGGGCAGACUUCUUGGAGGAAGUGAAAUUUGAACUGCGAUGUGAAGAAUGAGCAGGAGUUAGUGAGGUGAAGAUGAGAGAAGGAGUGUUGCAAACACAGGUCAGUCUGUGCAAAGGCCCUGAGACACAAGGAGCCUAGAACCACGGCUCGAAGACAACCGUCUGGCUGGGGCAUGGCUCGUCUUACAGAUCACAUUAAGGAACAAAUAAUUAUGUUAAGAGUUAUGGGCUGCCAUUAAGGAUUUGGAUAAGAGAGUCUUACAAUCACAUCUGUGUUUUCUAAAGGCCUGACACUGAUUGGUACAUGGAGUACAGCCUGAAGGGAACAAGACUUGUUAGAAAGGAAGCUAUUGGCU
rnacentral:lncRNA from 10 species